UGGGCAUUGGUGCCACGACGUCCCUCUUCGUGGCGUUGGCUCUGCCCUCUGGCUUGCCGCCACCAGCCCGGGCGUGACCACCAAUGAAAACUCAGAUUGAGUCAUCUCAUCAGUGGCUCCCAGAAGAUUUCCUCCUCCGUGGGAGCACAGCCCUGGGAGAGGUGAAGACAGGGGACUGGCACCAGGAUCUGAGUUCAAAAGUCCAAGAAAAUCUGGGCUCUAACCUCUAAUGUAAACCAGAGAGUGACUUAAGAAACAGUUAUGAGACCUUGACGACUUUCACAUUCAUUGUACAUUUGGGCAUAACUCAUCUGGAUCCACGGGAGCGCAAUGGAUCCAAGAGUGUGCUCUGGUGGACAAACCCCCAAGCCAGCUGGGGAAAGAGACCCAACCCCUGAAAUGGUCUUGGAAACAGAACUGAUAGAACUCACGGAAAGCGAUGGGGAGGAAGUCGUUGACCUCACCUGUGAACCUUUAGAGCCCGCAGUGAUUGACCUAACUCACAAUGACUCUGCUGUGAUUACUAGAGCGAGGAGGAGACCAAGGAGAAACACUAAACCACGUGAAGGUCAAGCAGGUGACUGCAUGGUGAGCUGUGAUGAGGAGGGGCAGAUACAGGACAGAGAUGUCUAUGUGAUCAACGGUGCUCACCACAAUGCCCUGGGAGAAGAAACUUCAAGUUGCCCACCACCUGGCUCUAUCUGGUGUCGCAUUUGCAUGGAUGGGUAUUCAGAGAUUGAGCAAAGCAGACGACGCAUCUAUUCUACAGAAUGUGGCCACAUCUUCUGUAGUCAGUGCCUUUGCAGUUCCCUUAAAUAUACUAAGACGUGUCCAGUGUGCUGGAAAAUUAUCCGUGGCCAUCAGUACCACCGCAUUUAUAUAUAACAUUUGCUCUGUUGCUCAGGGACAGACAGACAGCCUGCCUAGUACUAAGGAUUAUUGACAUCCAAAUCUUUGCACUCCAAAACCCGAUUUUUUAAUCUGCUGUCUGGAAUAGUAAGAAACUCUUUUGUUUCUACAAACACGCACUCCGUUUGUUUCUCUUUGUUUUUGUGCGGCAGGGCAGGACUUUGGUUGCACCAGCGCACCAGCGAUGAGCAACCGUCCUUAAAGCAAUUUUCUCUUUCUUUCUCAUAGUAAUCAAUGUUUCGUUACCUGCAAGUGACCACAUGGGAACCUAUCAAAGAGGUACACCACCUUAGAGGUGACAGAGCAAAUACACGGAAGGAACGGAGGAGACGGAUAACUUUACAGAGGAGAGCACGUUCGGACUUCGCGAACGAAAAGAAUAGAUGUCACUCUUGUCUAAGCAGCCAUUAGAUUGGGUCUUGGUUAGGUUAUUGGAAACCAUAUUGAGUCUCAUGGAUUAGGCAGGGUGCCGCUUCUGGAUUUACUGACUCUGUUGGAAGUGUAAGUCAGUCUGUCCUCUCUGGCCUCCAACCAGCAGAGUGAAGGGGGUAUUCAGGCAGGCAACUGCCCUGCGGAGUCUCCUAGUGGCCUGUAAAUCCAGCCUCGACACACUGAAUUAAGGAGGCCGUGUUUUGUGCUGUCUGGGACCUACUGGGCCAGAUGGGGAUUGCGGCAUUCACCUUGGGUUUACAGUGGUGCCUGCCUUCCACCACACCGAUCAACACGUCUCCAUGCAGCUCUGCGAACAAACGAGUCCACACCUCGCUGUCUCAGCUGCUCCGGAGGCCUGGCUGGGUCAGAGGCCCUGGGAAGAAUCCUCCACCGUCUUCCUUUGAGAGACUUGUGCAGGGCACACAGUUCAGCCUGCUCUUUAGAAUUGGAGGGUGGU